rnacentral:rRNA from 1 species
AAAGGAAUAGACGGGGACCCGCACAACCGGUGGAGCGUGUGGUUCAAUUCGAUACAAAGCGAAAGACCUCACCAGGUUUUGACAUGCUACCGUUUUAACCCUGUGGAAACACGGGGCUAUCCGCAAGGAUGGUAGCACAGCAGCUGCAUGGCUGUCGUCAGCUCGUGCCGUGGGGUGUUCCCUUAAGUGGGAGAACGAGCGCAACCCGUGUCCAAUGUUAUAUGUUUCAUUGGAGACCGCCCUCUCUCUGAGCAAAUGAAUUUUCAUUUGUUGAGAGAGAGGGAGGAAGGAACGGACGACGUCAAGUCAGCACGGCGCUUAUAACCUGGGUAACACACACCCUACAAUGGCGAAUAACAAUGGGACGCAAGGCAGUAAUGUCAAGCAAAUCCCCACUAAAUUUCGCCUCAGUUCAGAUUGAGGGCUGCAACCCGCCCUCAUGAAGUCGGAAUCGGUAGUAAUCGCAGAUCAGCAGGCUGCGGUGAAUACGUUCUCGGGUCUUGUACACACCGCCCGU